AGCUAUUGGCUCCUGAGCUGGAGAAGAGUUCUGCGAUUUGAUUGGUUCUUCAGCGGAGCUCCGGGGGUCUCGAGCUGCAUGAUUUGAUCAGAUCCAGACUUAAAUCCCAAACUGUUCCACCACUCUACUCCUCCUGUUGUUCACUUUCUGACCUGAUUAAAAUUCAGCUUCUCAAAAACACACAGUCAGAAGAUGGAGAAAGAGGAGAAGAACAUGACAUCUGAAGAAAUCUGCAGUACUCAGCAGCAAUCCUCUCCUACAUCCUGUGGACAAAUGACGUCCACAAGUUUAGACAGCAAUAAAACUCACCACUGCUCAGACUGUGGGAGGAGUUUUGCUUCAGAGAGUAAUCUCAGAGCACACCAGCGUAUUCACACCGGGGUAAAACCGUAUCACUGCUCAGUCUGUGGGAAGAGUUUUACUCAUCAGACAAGUCUACAAGUACACCAGCGCAUUCACACUGGAGAGAAACCGUAUCACUGCUCAGACUGUGGGAAGAGUUUUAAUCAACAGAGUAAUCUCAAAACGCACCAGAACAUUCACACUGGAGUGAAACCGUAUUACUGCGUAGACUGUGGGAAGAGUUUUACUCAUCAGAGAAGUCUACAACAACACCAGCGCAUUCACACUGGAGUGAAACCGUAUCACUGCUUAGAAUGUGGGAAGAGUUUUCAUCAACAGAUUAAUCUCCAACUACACCAGCGCAUUCACACAGGAGAGAAACCGUAUCAAUGUUUAGAGUGUGGGAGGAGUUUUAAUCAACAGAGGAGUCUCCAAUUACACCAGCGCAUUCACACUGGAGAGAAACCAUAUCACUGCAUUGAGUGUGGAAAGAGUUUUCAUCACCAGUGUACACUACGACGACACCAACAUAUUCACACUGGAGUGAAACCGUAUCACUGCUCAGAGUGUGGGAAGAGUUUUACUAAACAGAAAUAUCUACAACUACACCAGCGCAUUCACACUGGAGAGAAACUGUAACGCUGUUCAGACUGUGGAAAGAGUUUUAAUCAUGAGGG